rnacentral:rRNA from 1 species
GAACCAGUACCGUGAGGGAAAGGUGAAAAGCACCCCGGAAGGGGAGUGAAAUAGAACCUGAAACCGUGUGCUUACAAGUAGUCAGAGCCCGUUAAUGGGUGAUGGCGUGCCUUUUGUAGAAUGAACCGGCGAGUUACGAUUUGAUGCAAGGUUAAGCAGUAAAUGUGGAGCCGUAGCGAAAGCGAGUCUGAAUAGGGCGUUUAGUAUUUGGUCGUAGACCCGAAACCAGGUGAUCUACCCUUGGUCAGGUUGAAGUUCAGGUAACACUGAAUGGAGGACCGAACCGACUUACGUUGAAAAGUGAGCGGAUGAACUGAGGGUAGCGGAGAAAUUCCAAUCGAACCUGGAGAUAGCUGGUUCUCUCCGAAAUAGCUUUAGGGCUAGCCUCAAGUGAUGAUUAUUGGAGGUAGAGCACUGUUUGGACGAGGGGCCCCUCUCGGGUUACCGAAUUCAGACAAACUCCGAAUGCCAAUUAAUUUAACUUGGGAGUCAGAACAUGGGUGAUAAGGUCCGUGUUCGAAAGGGAAACAGCCCAGACCACCAGCUAAGGUCCCAAAAUAUAUGUUAAGUGGAAAAGGAUGUGGCGUUGCCCAGACAACUAGGAUGUUGGCUUAGAAGCAGCCAUCAUUUAAAGAGUGCGUAAUAGCUCACUAGUCGAGUGACACUGCGCCGAAAAUGUACCGGGGCUAAACAUAUUACCGAAGCUGUGGAUUGUCCUUUGGACAAUGGUAGGAGAGCGUUCUAAGGGCGUUGAAGCAUGAUCGUAAGGACAUGUGGAGCGCUUAGAAGUGAGAAUGCCGGUGUGAGUAGCGAAAGACGGGUGAGAAUCCCGUCCACCGAUUGACUAAGGUUUCCAGAGGAAGGCUCGUCCGCUCUGGGUUAGUCGGGUCCUAAGCUGAGGCCGACAGGCGUAGGCGAUGGAUAACAGGUUGAUAUUCCUGUACCACCUAUAAUCGUUUUAAUCGAUGGGGGGACGCAGUAGGAUAGGCGAAGCGUGCGAUUGGAUUGCACGUCUAAGCAGUAAGGCUGAGUAUUAGGCAAAUCCGGUACUCAUUAAGGCUGAGCUGUGAUGGGGAGAAGACAUUGUGUCUUCGAGUCGUUGAUUUCACACUGCCGAGAAAAGCCUCUAGAUAGAAAAUAGGUGCCCGUACCGCAAACCGACACAGGUAGUCAAGAUGAGAAUUCUAAGGUGAGCGAGCGAACUCUCGUUAAGGAACUCGGCAAAAUGACCCCGUAACUUCGGGAGAAGGGGUGCUCUUUAGGGUUAACGCCCAGAAGAGCCGCAGUGAAUAGGCCCAAGCGACUGUUUAUCAAAAACACAGGUCUCUGCUAAACCGUAAGGUGAUGUAUAGGGGCUGACGCCUGCCCGGUGCUGGAAGGUUAAGAGGAGUGGUUAGCUUCUGCGAAGCUACGAAUCGAAGCCCCAGUAAACGGCGGCCGUAACUAUAACGGUCCUAAGGUAGCGAAAUUCCUUGUCGGGUAAGUUCCGACCCGCACGAAAGGCGUAACGAUUUGGGCACUGUCUCAACGAGAGACUCGGUGAAAUCAUAGUACCUGUGAAGAUGCAGGUUACCCGCGACAGGACGGAAAGACCCCGUGGAGCUUUACUGUAGCCUGAUAUUGAAAUUCGGCACAGCUUGUACAGGAUAGGUAGGAGCCUUUGAAACGUGAGCGCUAGCUUACGUGGAGGCGCUGGUGGGAUACUACCCUAGCUGUGUUGGCUUUCUAACCCGCACCACUUAUCGUGGUGGGAGACAGUGUCAGGCGGGCAGUUUGACUGGGGCGGUCGCCUCCUAAAAGGUAACGGAGGCGCUCAAAGG